UACAGAGGUCUCAAGCGUUGCUCGGAAUCAUUGGGCGUAAAGCGCACGUAGGCGGCCUAGUAUGUCGGGUGUGAAAGCCCUCGGCUUAACCGGGGAAGUGCAUUCGAAACUGCUAGGCUUGAGUACUGAAGAGGAUCGCGGAAUUCCCGGUGUAGAGGUGAAAUUCGUAGAUAUCGGGGAGAACACCAGUGGCGAAGGCGGCGAUCUGGGCAGAUACUGACGCUGAGGUGCGAAAAGCUAGGGGGAGCGAACAGGG
rnacentral:rRNA from 1 species